UAAAAUGUUCAUUUUGAGGGCUUUCUGUU
rnacentral:piRNA from 1 species